rnacentral:lncRNA from 1 species
UUGUUCCUGCAACUAGACGGUCCCAGCUGGGGGUGAUGAGAGACAGUGACAGAUCAUCAGGCAUUCGAUUUUCAUAAGGAGGGUGCAACCUAGAUCCCUCACACGCCAGGUUCACAAUAGGGUUCGCGCUCCUGUAAGAAUCGAAUGCCGCCGCUGAUCUGACGGAAGCGGGGUUCGGGUGGUCCUGCAAGUGACGGGGAGCGGCUGUAAAUACACUCACUGCAGCUCACCUGCUGUACGGUUCAGUUCCUGACAGGCCACGCCCCGGGGGUUAAGGACCCCCGGCCUAAGGACGGUCUAUCAUAUAAUUCACCUCGGCCGGGUACAGUGGCUCACGCCUGUAAUCCCAGCACUUUGGGUGGCUGAGGCGGCCGGAUCAUGAAGUCAGGAGAUCGAGACCAUCCUGGCUAACACGGUGAAACCCCAUCUCUACUAAAACCACAAAAAAUUAGCCUGGUGUUGUGGCACACUCCUGUAAUCCCAGCUACUCAGGAGGCUGAGGUGGGAGAAUCACUUGAACCCGGGAGGCAGAGGUUGCAGUGAGCUGGGAUUGCGCCACUGCACUACAGCCUGGGUGACAGAGCGAGACUCCAUCUCAAAAAAAAAAAAAAAAGAAUUCACCUCUCGAAGGGCACCUGGCAGAAGCUG